GCUGGGCCUGGUGGCGUGCGCCUGUAAUCCCAGCUACUCGGGAGGCUGAGGCAGGAGAAUUGCCCGAACCCAGGAGGCGGAGGUCGGGGUGAGCCGAGGUCGCGCCAUUGUACUCCAGCCUGGGUAACAACAGUGAAACUCCGUCUCAAAAAAAUAAAAUAAAAUAAAUAAAUAAAUAAUAAUAAACUAGAGGAAGAGAGUGUGUCCUGUAUAUUUUGGUGUUAUUUAUUUUUGAGCCGGAGUUUCACUCUUGUUUCCCAGGCUGGAGUGCAAUGGCGCGACCUCGGCUCACCGCAACCUCCGCCUCCUGGGUUCGGGCAAUUCUCCUGCCUC
rnacentral:SRP_RNA from 1 species